AAUUUUGGUGAGCUGGCAGGGGCGCUUCGGCGCGCCGUGUCCUGUUGAGCGGUAGUUCCUAACCCUGUCCAGUUCACCACCCGA
rnacentral:antisense_RNA from 1 species